rnacentral:rRNA from 1 species
AUUGAACGCUGGCGGCAGGCUUAACACAUGCAAGUCGAGCGGGGGAAGGUAGCUUGCUACCGGACCUAGCGGCGGACGGGUGAGUAAUGCUUAGGAAUCUGCCUAUUAGUGGGGGUCAACAUUCCGAAAGGAAUGCUAAUACCGCAUACGUCCUACGGGAGAAAGCAGGGGAUCUUCGGACCUUGCGCUAAAUGAUGAGCCUAAGUCGGAUUAGCUAGUUGGUGGGGUAAAGGCCUACCAAGGCGACGAUCUGUAGCGGGUCUGAGAGGAUGAUCCGCCACACUGGGACUGAGACACGGCCCAGACUCCUACGGGAGGCAGCAGUGGGGAAUAUUGGACAAUGGGCGGAAGCCUGAUCCAGCCAUGCCGCGUGUGUGAAGAAGGCCUUAUGGUUGUAAAGCACUUUAAGCGAGGAGGAGGCUACUAGUAUUAAUACUACUGGAUAGUGGACGUUACUCGCAGAAUAAGCACCGGCUAACUCUGUGCCAGCAGCCGCGGUAA